ensembl:lncRNA
GUUCAAUCACAGCAAAAAGUGAAGUGAAGUGAAGUCGCUCAGUCGUGUCUUUGCGACCCCAUGGACUGUAGCCUACCAGGCUCCUCCCUCCAUGUGAUUCUCCAGGCAAGAGUACUGGAGUGGGUUGCCAUUUCCUUCUCCAGGGGAUCUUCCCGACCCAGGGAUCGAACCUGGGUCUCCGCAUUUCAGGCAGACGCUUUAACCUCUGAGCCACCAGGGAAGCCCAAUCCCAGCAAAGGAUGUAAUCAACUGUGCCCACUACGAAGCCUGGAUUAAAAACUCUUGAAAACAGUGAGGUUCAGGGAGGUUCCAAAUUUGUGAACACAUUCAUGGGCUGAGAGGGUGGCACACCCAGAGGUGGCACAGACUCUCUGUGCCCCCAACUUCCUACUUACCCUAUAGAGUUGUAACAUUCAUAAUACAUUUGUCUUAUCCUGAGUUGUAUCAUUUAUAAUUAAGCGGUGCCGUCAACCCUCUAUAACCACAGGUUUCAAAUCAGGAGAUUCGAGUAGCUGCUAAUUGAAGGUCAGUGGCUGAUUGAAUCUGCAGAUGCGAAACCAGCGCACAUUUGGAAGAUUUACUGUAAUCACAGGCCUGGCGCCAUUUUACAUCUGGGGCCUGCUCAUUGGUGAAUUUUGGUACCUGUUGCUGCUGCUGCUAAGUUGCUUCAGUCGUGUCCGACUCUGUGCGACCCCAUAGACGGCAGCCCACCAGGCUUCCCUGUCCCUGGGAUUCUCCAGGCAAGAACAUUGGAGUGGGUUGCCAUUUCCUUCUCCAUUGUGUGAAAGUAAAAAGUGAAAGUGAAGUCGCUCAGUCCUGUCCGACUCUUCGCGACCCCAUGGACUGAGGGGUCUCCCAAAAUCAGUCCCCUGAGGAUGCUGAGGAACGACUAUAAUUAUCUUUGCUGUGAACAUUCUUCUGCAUGGCUUCUGGUGCACAAGUGCAAGAGUUUCUCAGGAUUUAUCUGGGAGUAGAAUUCCUGGGUAUGCACACUCAGGUGACGAAACUACGUUGGAGAAGUUAAGUAAUUUGCCCAAGGUGACGCAGCUGGUAAGUCGUAUCUCAGAUAUUUGGACCUAGGCAGUUCAACUCUGGGGUCCACGCUCUUAACAUCUGCACAGCACUGCACCCUGGAAGGACAGAUGUUCCACUUUCUUCCCCUUUUACCCACAGAAUCUAAAGGAAUUAGACAAACAGAGAAGGGAGACUCCUGGUCCACACAGAUGAGUGACCACGCUGGCUCCGAGACCACUGUCAGGAGGUGGAGAAAACACCAACAGGCAUUUGAUUUGCUCUCAGGAACCAGGAGCACAUGGGUAGUCAAGAUUUGAAAAGGAGAGUGAAACAGUGUUCUGCAGAAACUUCUAAAGCUGUCAGGGAUCAGAAACUCUUCAAUUCCAACCUCAUACUGAAAUUUAACAUCCUUCAUUAAAUAUGUGGAAUUUUAAAUAAAUGUUACCUAUAUUCACACCAUACUUUCUCUGAUAGAAUGUUUGUAUCAUUUACUUAUCCUUUCAACUUUUAAUGCGGCCACGGAUUUUUAAGAGCUAAUCAGAAUUCCCUAAUAUGGUGAUUUUAAUAAGUAUUUUUCUUUCAUUUAAACACUAAAUGUUUUGGUCCAGAAUUCUGAUAAACUGCUUAUUAUUUCUGAAAAACUUAGGUUGCCCAUCUUGAUAAAAUGUGAUGGCAUAAAGAAAGACAGGAUCUUAUUUAUGCCAAAUGAAUUGAU